AGCCUGGCCCCGGGCCCGGGAGGGGUGCCCGGAGCCCCGGGAGCGGCGGCACAGCCGGACUCACCCACAGCCGCUGGCCCUGCGCCCCGGGGAUUUUAACUUUUUAUACCGAUACCGCAACUAGUGAGAAAGUCUCCGCUGGUGCUGGUGGGACGUGGCUGAGCCCAGACGCCGAUGACCCCGGGGGAGCGGGGCUGGGGUUGGUGCCGCCCCGGACGGUGCAGGUUGGUUGGAUUUAUGGAGCCGGUAAAGACGAGAGCGAAACUGCACCGAAACCCUGCUCCUCUUCCUCCUCCUCCUUCACCAGGUGUCCCCCAGGGCACCCAAACUUCUGCUCUCUCACCCAACUCAUCUUCUUCAUCCUCUGCUGGGUUUCUGUUCUGGGUGGCCACGCUGGGUGCUGGGGAAGGACUCUGGUGGCCGUGUGACAGCAGGAUGAGGGGACAGAGGGGACAGCAGGACCGAGGGGACAGCGGGACAGAGGGGACAGCGGGACAGAGGGGACAGUGAGCUGCAGCCCCCACGGUGCCAUGGCAGGGGCUGCUCUGCCCCCAGCACCUCCUGGCAUCUCACAAACCAAACCACGCCAAGCCCAGGGGCGCUGGGCCAGCUCUGUGGCAGUGUCCCCGAGCCCUGGCUUUGUGUCCCCUGUGCUGCCGCUGGGGCUGAGCUGCCUGGGGGAUUCGGGCAUGCUUGGGCUGGGCCAACACACCUGCAUGUGCUGCUUUGGUGUCUCCACUCCAGCCAGGGCAGUCUGGGGUCCAAGCCCUGUCUGUCCUGGCCAGGACCUGCUGUCCUUCCCCUCCCCACGGCUCGGUCACACCGUUAAGGCAGCGGGUUCUGCCUGUCCCCCCCUGUCCCCCAGGGCCCCCUGGCAGCUCCAGCCAGCCCUGACUCUGGACCCCCUGUCCCCAUGGCUUCCCCUGUGGCAGAGGUGCACAAACCCCCAAACCUGGCACCACCUCCAGAUGUGUUCUCCAUCUACUUUUGCACAUUCUACAGCAUCGAUGUGGAAAGGGUUUGUUUGACUGCCAAGUGAAUAACUGAGUCGUUAACUUUCUAUGUUCAUAUCUUACAAUUGCAAUGUGAUUUUUGUUUGUUUUGUUUUUUUAGCAAGGAGCUUGUAAAGCACAACAUGGCCAUGAAAUCCCAUCAGCUUCCCAGCUGAAUGGUUUAUUGCCAUUAACUUUCACUGCCCCAAUACACCCCCAAUCAAUGUUUACAAAGAAAAGAAACAAAGAAAAACCAAGCCAAAACCUGUUAAAAUGUGUUUUAAAGAGCUGGGGAGAUGCCCCAGCCUAUGGGGGUGUGCUGCCCAUCCUGCCCGUGGCCCAGAGGGAGAUGAGAGAUGCCCAGGGUAGGGCCAGUGCCAAGGCUGGUGUCACCUCCAGAGGGUGUUGAGAGGGACCUGCUGUGCCUGGAUGAGGUUUAGGGUCCAUCUUUGAUUUUUUUUUAUUGUUGUUUUUCCCUGAAGUGCCAGGCAGGAGCCCCUGAGAGGUGGUGGCACAUCCCAGGCUCAGAGAGGUACCACAGGUGCACCCCUCCCACCCUGCUGAGCUGUGGGCACAAACAGAACUGUCUUUAAAGCUUUUUGGAGUUGUUUUGAUGGAUUUUUAAUGAUUAGUUUUGUUUGGAUAAGGCAGGCACAUGUUUUAUUUAUUUCUUUUUGUAGUUUCACAUGCCAAAUCUGUCAUUUCAAAUGGAAAAAGAAGCUGUAGGGUAAGAAGUGGGUGUGGUUGAAGUACAAAAGGACACUUGGGCUCUGUGUUAACUUGAAGCCUCAGGAUGCUCAGAUCAUGGAGUGUAAAUGUAUUUUAAGUGUCUGUAUUUAAUAUGGAUCAUUUUCCAAACCCCACUUCCCUUUCAAGGGAGUGUGGAACAAAGCAGUAUUACAGGUUAAAAAAACCAAACCAGCAAACAAACAAAAGCCCAGACCCCAAAUAAAGAAAGGUGUGAUUGUUUGCAUUUAUUUACUGAGAACAUACAAUUUUUAUGAUUUGUUUGUUUGGCUGUGAGCUGUGUGUGAGAGCGCAGGGAAAGCGAGCACAGCUCCUCAGGUCAACCCUCCCAUGGCAAAAAAAAAAAAAGAAAUUUCUUUUAAAAACCCUUAAUUUACUUAAAAUUUCACCCCUAGCCCUGAGCAGCCAGGUCAGCUGUGUGGCCAAAUCCAGGGUCUGUGUUCCAGAGGCUCCACUGGCCGUGGUGUUGGGUCCCUCCUUCCUCAGCGGGCACACACAGCUCCCCUAAACCGAGGAGAAAAUGAUCCCAAGAGGAAACCACACACCAAAAGGACUGAAGCCUCUGUGUGGUUUGUGAUAUUGUCCAAAUGCCCUCGAUAUUCCUGUAUUUGAUGCUUCUGUUUGUCCAGUGUACAAGAUCCCUGCAUUUGAAGCGGAAGCUCCGUGUACAAACCCUCGGCGUUCCUCCUCUGGUGUAAAUUUCCAGCCUCCCUUCCCAUGGGAUGGGGAAAACCCUGUAAAUACUCACUUGUGGGCAAUGCAAGUCUGAGAACCAAGGGUUCAUUUUUCUAAUUCCUUAGCCUCAGUUACAAUACUAAUGUAAAAACAAAAGCAGUUUAUUUUUCUAAUGGUCCUGGAAACGUCGAUGCAGCGACAGAAUCGCUGAAAGGGCCCACGGGGAGAGGGGCACAAGGAGCUUCCGUGGGAAGAGGAGAAUGGUUAUUGCUUCCAAGCAUGGAAAAAUCCCAUUUUCUGGAGGAAAUAGUUGUGUUCCAAUGCAGAGACCUGGCAGGCCCUGGGGGAUGCAGAAACGAGGACAGCUGGGAUAUUUUGGGGUUUUCCAGCAUCGGCUCCGGCGCAUGUUCCGUGUCCACUAACGGUUUGAUACGCUCAGUAUGGACUAAAUCCACAUAUCCUGCAUUAAACUCAACUACUCAAACCAAUGUUAUGAGUAUAUUUAUUUCCUGUUAUACCCCUUUUUAUUUAACCUCUAUAGAACAGGACAUUUUUAUUCCAAGCUCAGCUCCUGCAUGGAUUUUUAUCAGCAACAGCAACUCCCGUCUUUCCUCUCGGAGACCGAAUUCCGGGAGCUGCUCUGCUGGGAUGCAGCCAGCCAAGGGGAGAGGGUUUUGUACAAUUCUUGUGAAGAUGCUUCACAUUUCUGUAAAGAUAAAUGAAAAUAAAAGAGCUGCAUGCAGCAACAGGAGA